GGCUUCAUGGCUCAGUUGGCUAGAGUGUCACACAAGUAUACAAGGCCAAGGGUUCAAACCCUGUUGAAGUCC
rnacentral:tRNA from 1 species